UACGUAGGGUGCGAGCGUUUGUCCGGAAUUACUGGGCGUAAAGAGCUCGUAGGUGGUUUGUCGCGUUGUUCGUGAAAACUCACAGCUCAACUGUGGGCGUGCGGGCGAUACGGGCAGACUGGAGUACUGCAGGGGAGACUGGAAUUCCUGGUGUAGCGGUGAAAUGCGUAGAUAUCAGGAAGAACACCCGUGGCGAAGGCGGCUCUCUGGGACGGUACUGACGCUGAGACGCGAAAGCGUGGGGAGCGAACAGG
rnacentral:rRNA from 1 species